UUUAUUUAUUGUUACAUUGUCACAAUGCCUUGCUGCAAUUUCUAAUUGUAAUUUCAAUUAUUUAAUCUGAAUUAUAAGCUCUCUACCUAAAAUUACUAGGGUGUUGCCCCUUACACAAUACUUUUCUUCCUAGCAAUAAAGUAGUGCCUUUUAACUGUCUUACUGCUUUCAGUGUAACAAAGGACAGACUCCAGAGAGAGGACAGCGAGAGUCUAUAAGUUUACAAUUUUUGAAACUGCAGCCCAUUGAAACCGAGGAAAACUCCACGAAAAAGUUGGAACCAAAAUGCGAUAACUAUAACAUAUGAAAAUUGAACUUGAUACUGAGCAAUUUUUUGAACCCUGGUGAAUGGUCGGAUUAAAAAAACAACAAUUUCUGUUAAUUAGUCCAUAAACUUUUGUACGUGGUUAGAUAAAUAACAGAUUUAGCUAACUAAUAUUGCUGAAUUAAUCUGAAUUAAUAAUAAUGUAAUAAAAUAAGUU